AUACUUACCUGGCAGGGAGGAUACCAUUAUCAUGAAGCUGGUUUUCCCAGGUCAAGGUUUAUCCAUUACACUCGGGAUGUGCUGGCCCCUGCGACUUUCCCAAAUGUGGAGAACUUGACUGCACAAUUUGUGGUCGUGGGGGACGGCAUUUGCACUCUCCCUUG